AGAGUUUGAUCAUGGCUCAGGACGAACGCUGGCGGCAGGCUUAACACAUGCAAGUCGAACGAGACCUUCGGGUCUAGUGGCGCACGGGUGAGUAACGCGUGGGAACCUGUCCUGUGGUUCGGGAUACCUCCGGGAAACUGGAGUUAAUACCGGAUGUCUCCUUCGGGAGAAAGAUUUAUCGCCAUAGGGUGGGCCCGCGUCCGAUUAGCUAGUUGGUGGGGUAAAGGCCUACCAAGGCAUCGAUCGGUAGCUGGUCUGAGAGGAUGAUCAGCCACACUGGGACUGAGACACGGCCCAGACUCCUACGGGAGGCAGCAGUGGGGAAUAUUGGACAAUGGGGGCAACCCUGAUCCAGCCAUGCCGCGUGAGUGAUGAAGGCCUUCGGGUUGUAAAGCUCUUUCGGUGGGGACGAUGAUGACGGUACCCACAGAAGAAGCCCCGGCUAACUUCGUGCCAGCAGCCGCGGUAAUACGAAGGGAGCGAGCGUUGUUCGGAAUUACUGGGCGUAAAGGGCGCGUAGGCGGCGCACCAAGUCAGGCGUGAAAGCCCUGGGCUUAACCCAGGAAUUGCGUUUGAGACUGGCGUGCUGGAGUGCAGGAGAGGUCGGCGGAAUUCCCAGUGUAGAGGUGAAAUUCGUAGAGAUUGGGAAGAACACCGGUGGCGUAGGCGGCCGACUGGACUGUAACUGACGCUGAGGCGCGAAAGCGUGGGGAGCAAACAGGAUUAGAUACCCCAGUAGUCC
rnacentral:rRNA from 1 species